rnacentral:sRNA from 12 species
CUCGCCCUAGGUGAAAAGGUUGCCAAGAGAGGCGGCCUUCUCAAGCAAGUCUUGAGAUAGCCUGGGUGUUUUAU